UACUCACGUAAUACCUCCCUCCGUGAAGAUCUCUCGUUUCCUUCCCCAGGAAGGUUUCCAACACAAGCGACCCCCGCCCCUUUCCUGCUGCUCCGCCGCCGCCUAUUUCUCUGCCAAAUCCACCCCGCGCCGCUGCCCGUGUCCGUGCCCUCUUCAUCUCCGGUCCCGCGCUCCAUCUCCUCCAGCCUCAUAUCCCCCGAUCUUCUCGAUUUGGAUCUCGGGAGCGCACGGGAGGGAGGCGAGGUGCCUGUUGCUGGGAGAGGGGCGAUGAGGAGUAUCGGCCCUUGGAUCUUUCCGUCUCGCGAGGCCAGGCCUCCCGUCCGUGGCGCGACGCCGCCGGCAUGGAGGCCCCGGCUCGGGCAGCCGCCGCAGUGUCGGGUGCGCCGGUGAGGUCUCGGGUACGCGCGAUGGGCGUGACCUCUCCUGGCUCCCCGCCCUCGUCCGCGACAACAAGGACCAAGAUGCAUUUACGGUGUUGUCUGGUGCGCCGUCAGGUUUGGUUGGUCGAGGCCAGGUAUGUUCCUGAGGCUGUUUGAUGGAUGGAUGUGUGCACGUAUGUAUGUACUCCCUCCGUUCCUGAAUAUUUGUCUUUCUAGACAUUUCAACAAGUGACUACACACGGAGCAAAAUGAGUGAAUCUACACUCUAAAAUAUGUCUACAUACAUCCGUAUGUGGUAGUCAUUUGAAAUGUCUAGAAAGACAAAUAUUUAGGAACGGAGAGAGUAUGUAGUAUGUACGUAUGGAUAUCUGGGUCAUGUUGCUGGGUGGGCAAAGACGGGGGUACAACCUCCUUUUCAGUUAAAAAUGAGGGGCGAUGAUGACGACUCUGGCUGAAAUAAGCAUGUCUUGAGCAAUCAAGAUUGUUGUGGCCUGGGUACUAAAUUAGAGCCCACCUUUACCUCUUGCAGCCUGUUCAAUUCAUCGAAAAUGUUGGAUGUUCUGCGCCUCGGCUGGUCAUUCUGACGAGUGAUAACCAGGGCAGUUCGUUUACAUUGCGAUAGGUAUGUUAUGCAGCAAGAGAUCUAAGUGUUGGGCUUGAAGAUCAAAGACGGAACUGAGCCCUCUUUUGCUAUGCUACAAAUACACAAAUUUUCCUUAUCUACUAUACAGUGUUCUUCUUUCAGUUCUAUUUCUCUAUUCUGUUGAUGUGAGUGAAGAUCUAUCUGAACUUGGGAUUUAUGUCUUCUUUUGGUGAUGAACUCAACCACCCUAAGCCUACAUGGAUUGAUCUAUAGUUGGGUUUGUUUUGCCUUUCUAGUUGUAUAUACUAUAUGUAUUACACGACUGUCAUUUUUCUCCAAUGCCUGUAGCUACUGGCAGUUUUAUUCCUGUGGUUAACAACAUACUGUUGUCCUGUUUGUCUUGUUAGUAAGCAUGUUAGCUUUUGCCAGAUGCUUCUUCAAAGACGAACUUCGAUCCUCCACGGGAUUGCAAAGAGUUGUCAUUAACACAGAUUGCCUAAAUGUGCUAUCUAUUUUGGUCAGAGCAGACCCUUUGUUAUGACCCUCUUUGCUAUUUAGUUCACUGGUCAUCAAUCUCUUUUUAAGUUGCUGCUGUCAAUAUUAACUGCCACAUUGAUUAUUAGAAUCACAUGAUGCAUUAGUGCGGUACAGAUCCCUCACAGGUUGUUUAAAAUGAGAGUGUCAAGUAAAUUUAUCAGCUGGAAAUUUUUUUGGGUUAAAAAUGUUCUUAUAUUUUUUCUAAUCAUGAAUGAAAGUCCUCUUGGAGCUUUUGCUUGGGCCAUUUGGGAUUUGUAUGUUGCCAUUUCCCCCCUUCACAUUAUAUGUUUUAAAAUUUAUUUAGUGGUCUUGCUUUGGUUUUUGUUUUCAUUUUGCCAAAGAUUGCACUAUGGAAACCAUCCUCUGUCUCUCUAUCAAUACCACUGUCUUUGUCACCAUCUUCGAACAUCACGGCAUUAAUUUGAUUUGAUACCUCAUAUUCUUUACUUCACACUCUUAGUAAUUCCUUAUUCGUAAAUAUUGUUUCUAAAGUUGCAUAUCUCUGUGAUCAUAGACAUCCGAUGGUUCCACAUUUUCUUGGUAAGUGUAGUCAAUCAAAAGAACAAAAUGCACUAAAUUACUAGAGGCCUUCCUAUUUAUACAUUAUAUCUAUGGUAUUGAUUAUCUAUGCUUUAUGCUCUGCCCAUGGCCGGGCGGUUUCAGUGAUUCUCCUCUGUUGCAGCAAGCCAUCACUACAACUUUAUGAUUAUGAUGUAUAUAUAUGCGCAAAUAUGUUUCUGUUUUUACAUUGAUAAAACAUGUGUUUAGUUGUACUGGCCAAGAAUAGUUCUAUGAUUCAUGCUUAUAGUUUACUGUAACUACUUCUACUGAUGGCUUAUAUUUUUAUAGACUGACGAUAAUUGUGAGCUGAGCCUUAUGGGAGGCCACUCACUAGAUAAAUAUAAUGGAUUGGGGUGCCCCAUUGAGUAGCUUCUGAAACGGGCCUUACUCUUUGGUUUCUACUUCCACGGCAGCAUGGUGUAGGAUGCAGCAUGACACUGUGUAAGGUACUGAUGGUCUCUGAGGUGAGCUCUUUAUCUGUAUCUAACAUUGCUCUGUCUCCCUUCGCAAGUAUAAUGACAUUUUAGUGGAUCUGAAUUUUGUGUUGACUGACUGGAAGUCAUGGUUCUGUUCAAUUGAUUCAUAUAUGUCUCUGAAUUUCCUUAUAUUUUCCUGUGUGUGAUCAUUUGUACUGGAAGUUAUUGUACAUGCACCUCCAUCCAUAGCAUGCCAACAAUGUGAAUUAGCUGAUUAGGAUUUUAUAUAUUCCUUUCACCCUUUCUAUGGUAGUUAGUACCAUGUAGUUUAUUAAAUCCAUUAUCAAGAUGUAGGUUAUCCUUUUGCACGGCAUGCCUAAAAGUGAAUAUCACCGUAUAGAUAUGCUGCUAAUGUUAUGAGUGUUUUUUUUGCAUGCUGAAACUGAUUGUACCAAACCAAUCCCAGUGGGAGCACUUUGUGUCUAUGGUGGUGAAUAUUUUGUUGUGAUCAAAACUUAUUUUAUUGCUCCCAGUUUGGGAAAUAUUUUUUUCAGACACUUGAGAUAGUUUUUUUUUUAAAUAGGAGCUCAUUAUAAUUUGUUUUUGUCUGUGCAUCAGCUGCUAUUUCAGUUAAUGCUUGGUUGUGCCUAGAGAAUAACAGGGAAGUUUUGUAUGUGGUGAUCCUCAAAACUUCCUAAUAGAUCAGUGGAGUAGGAAGGCUUGCAUGAGUUUGCACAACAAUCUUGAACGCUUACCAAACUAGCCUGAUCAUAUGUUGAAGCAAAAAUAUGUAUGACUGUAGGAGUUCAGAGUACUACGUGAAUUGCUCAAGGGUCACACCACAACGACUGCUAGAGCAGGCUUCACCUCAGGCGCUCUCCCUAACUCUUUUACAUGUUGAUGACCACUUCACACACCAAUGCAUGAGUCAAAUGGCUGGUAACAAAUUCCCACGUUUAAUUAGCCUUUGCUUCUCCAUUUUCAACCCCCCUGGAAGUGUUUCGUUCCUUGACCUCCUCUUACUGAGUACUUAAAGGCUUGGAUAUGUCUCUUGUGAUGCAGUUGUAUAUUGCGGAGUCUUUCUCCAUCACCACAUCGGCUAUCUCGGCUUUUUCUUACCCUUUUAUCCUUUACUAAAUAGCCCACAUUUCAUACUCCGAUUGCACUUUUCUACUUGUACCCUCUGAUGCACUACAUUUUUCUGGAAAGUUUUAGGAUCUUUGAAUUCUGCAGGCAUCCUCCUUAACUAAUUUCUGCACCAUAGUAUAAAGUACAACAAGUCCUCUCAUAUUCAAUUUUCUGCUCACUAACAAAGACAGAGAUUAAGCUAACCUAUUCAGACACCCACAUGUUCUAAGUUGCCUACUUUCUCUUACCACAUGACUGCAAUUCUUCAAACUAUGUUGCUUUUUAAUCAUCAGAGUUUUAAUAAUUUCCAGUUCUGCCAGCAUAAAUUAAUUUGUUUUGUCAACUAAUUAUAAACAACAUCAUGUUAACGUGAAUUUUGGUUCACCUACACUCAUUCUGACAUUUUCACCAUAAAUAUUUUACAUGCAAUUGUCUUUGUCGUUGGUCAUGGACGGGUUUGGUUGUGGUACACUUGUGUACAGCCCUGUAAGUUAUCAAGUACUUUGGUUUCCUAUUUUUUGCAAUAUAGAAUCUGUCAUGAUGCAUUUUCUUCUGCGGUCUUAUUUAGGUGAGUACCAGCGUCUCUGAAACUUUUUCAGAAUACAGUAAUGAGGCUGCAUUUGUUUUCAUGGCCGGCCGAUGCUGCGUGGAUCCGGUUCAACGAGGUCGUCGGCGACAUGCUGCUGGAGCGGGAGAGCAGGAUAUGAUCUCUAUGGCAAGUUGAAAAUAGUUGUUGCCUAUAGCUGAUGGUUGUGGUCCUCCAACCUGGCUAUCUCUUGUUGCAGAAUCAGCAAAGCAAAGAAAGGACUCAUUGUUGGUCUUAUUGGCCCUGAUCAUCCAUUCACAAACAAUUACUGUGUAUGGGAAGACGAAUUCAAAGUAGCACAUUUUUGCGGCUGUGAAAUGCAACAUCAUGUUUGGAUAGCUGACCAAAAAGGAUCUCCUUGAAAAACUGAAAUAUUUAUGCUAUGCUGAUUGACCUGGGAAAUGACAAUGAUAUCUUUGGGAAAGCUUUAGAAAGUAUAACUUCUGCAACAUCUGUACCUACUGCAGAUCUUGCGAGUAUUGAUCAGCUUCUGGAAACAGUACGUCGAUACCAAGAAGAUGAAUAUUCUUUUGUGUAAAAAACAUGUCCCUUUGAUUGAUUUGGGCGUGUUGCUAAACAUUUAGAUGUCGGCAACUGCAAUGCAGAACAGAUGAGUGGUGUAAGGAGGUGUUGCAGUGGGACAUUGCAACUGCUCCCAGAUCAAUUCAAACUCCAUUUGAAUGUUUUAGUUCAUCAAUGCUUUUGAUUAUAUUUUUUACAUAGUAAUGGGGUUACACUUAUUCUCGAGGCCCUAUUAAAGAGUAUUCUGAAUUGUAUUCAUUGCUUCAUGUACCUAUUUAUAUGUCUUAUGAGUAUUCUGAAUUGUAUUAUGUAUUGUACGUUAACAAAUACGGCAACAUGAUUAGCCUGCCUUGGUCUGCUUGCUAUGUAUAUAUAAAUGCUAUAAUGAUCAAUUUCUCAUCGGUGCACUUUUUUCUUCAGCAUAUGUACCUUAUAUACGCUGACUGGGCUUCUGUAGUUCAAAUAAGCACGUCCACAAGU